rnacentral:rRNA from 1 species
UACGGAGGGUGCAAGCGUUGUCCGGAAUCACUGGGCGUAAAGGGCGCGUAGGCGGCUCAUGAAGGCUGUGGUGAAAGUCCGGGGCUCAACCUCGGAUCGGCCGUGGCGACUCGUGGGCUGGAGCACUGUAGAGGCGGGUGGAAUUCCGGGUGCAGCGGUGGAAUGCGUAGAGAUCCGGAAGAACACCAGUGGCGAAGGCGGCCCGCUGGGCAGUGGCUGACGCUGAGGCGCGACAGCGUGGGGAGCAAACAGG